CAACCCUGAUGCAGCGACGCCGCGUGAGCGAUGAAGCCCUUCGGGGUGUAAAGCUCUUUCGGCAGGGAAGAUUAUGACGGUACCUGCAGAAGCAGCUGCGGCUAACUACGUGCCAGCAGCCGCGGUAAUACGUAGGCAGCAAGCGUUGUUCGGAGUUACUGGGCGUAAAGGGUGUGUAGGCGGCCUUCUAAGUUUGGUGUGAAAUCUCCCGGCUCAACCGGGAGGGUGCGCCGAAGACUGGGGGGCUAGAGUAUGGGAUGGGAGAGUAGAAUUUCCGGUGUAGCGGUGAAAUGCGUAGAUAUCGGAAGGAAUACCUGUGGUGUAGACGGCUCUCUGGACCAUAACUGACGCUGAGACACGAAAGCGUGGGUAGCAAACAGAAUUAGAUACCCUGGUAGUCCACGCCCUAAACGAUGCAUAUUUGGUGUGGGCCAUUCAUUUGGUCCGUGCCGGAGCUAACGCGUUAAAUAUGCCGCCUGGGGAGUACAGUCGCAAGGCUGAAACUCAAAGGAAUUGACGG
rnacentral:rRNA from 1 species